AUUUGUAUUUACUAAUGGAAUAGCAUCAGUUCCUAAACUGUAAUUUUGCUUUUAUUGAGGCCAAGUGACAAAUGUCUAUUUUGUGAUUUUGCUAAGGUAAUAAGAAUAUUUAAAUUUCGUUUUUUGUUUUUUGUUUUUUGUUUUUUUUUGAGACGGAGUCUCGCUCNNNNNNNNNNUCCGCCUCCCGGGUUCACGCCAUUCUCCUGCCUCAGCCUCCUGAGUAGCUGGGACUACAGGCGCCCGCCACUACGCCCAGCUAAUUUUUUGUAUUUUUAGUAGAGAUGGGGUUUCACCAUGUUAGCCAGGGUGGUCUCGAUCUGCUGACCUCGUGAUCCGCCCGCCUCAGCCUCCCAAAGUGCUGGGAUCACAGGCUUGAGCCACCGUGCCCGGCCAAAUAUUUAAAUUUUGAAAAUGUGAUUUUUUUCUAUAAAAAAAAGUAUUGGGUUUUUUUUUUUUUUUUUUUUUUUUUUUUUUUGCUCACCUUACUAACUAAUAUCUGUGUAUGUGUAAUUCAGUUUUGUUCAGUCUGGAGUGUUUUUCCCAAUUAUUACACCUGAUCGAAAAGUUUUUAUUUUGGCUUCAAAGGGUGUGUUACACAUUAACAUUUCCCUUAAGACAAAAGUCAAUUUUAGGAAUAAAAAGGAAUGUAACAUUUGCCUUUUACUAACACGCUUAUUUGCAAUAC
rnacentral:lncRNA from 1 species